rnacentral:SRP_RNA from 1 species
GCCGGGCGCGGUGGCUCAAGCCUGUAAUCCCAGCACUUUGGGAGGUUGAGGUGGGCAGAUUGCGUAAGCUCAGGAGUUUGAGACCAGCCUGGCCAACAUGGUGAAAUCCUGCCUCUACAAANNNNNNNNNNUUUGUAGAGGCAGGAUUUCACCAUGUUGGCCAGGCUGGUCUCAAACUCCUGAGCUCACGCAAUCUGCCCACCUCAA